GGGCCGGGAGCGCGGGGCUCUGCCGCACGGUCACCCGACCCCCAGCCCGGCCCCGGAUCCCGUGCCUGGGUCCGGAGAAUGGGCCCAGUGGCCUUGGCAAAGGGCGCCCCCUGCUGGUGACGGGCGGCGCGGGAGGCCGGGACAGGGGGGCGGGGGGCGCCCCGGGGCGCCCCCUGCCCCUCAUCUCCCAGUCUGGGGCCCCGCGCCUGUCCCAGGGCCUGACUCAGAGCCCCGCAGGCCCCGACCCCGCAGCCCGGGCCAGCCGUACCCUGCGGUGGCCGGCGCGGGGGGAGGUGUCACUUCUCUCGCUCCCACUCCCCACGGAGCCGGCCGUGCAGGGGGAAGGGGAGGCUCGGGUGAGCGGUGCAGACGCCGCAGCCCCAGGGAGUCAUCCCGCAGUCUCACCCCGUCCUAACAGCCAGAGCACCCCGCGAGUGGAAGGGCAAAGCCAGGCUUGUUGCCCUGCAGUGGAGUCAGGCGCCUCCCUCUGCAGACUCAGUCUCCCGAGUGGAGCGGGGGCUGUGGGGAGGCAGCCGGCAGGUGGUGGGCAGGGCUCCUGCAGACACUCCGAGGGCAUGGGACAUUACCGCAUAUCCCUCUGGCGGCGCCCCCCACCCUGUUACAGCAGGGCUGUGACCCCAAAGGGAAGUGAAGGGAAAUGAGACUGCCAGCCCAGCACAGGCCAGGCAGCGCCAUCGGCUUCCUCUCGCCUGGCAGGCAAGCGUGACUUUCAAAAACCAGACGCUCUGUUCCCCUUCCCAGUGGCCUCGUAGGUCGCGGAGGUGCUGGUGGUUCUUCGUGGGGAAAGGUUGGUUGGGUUGGCCUGAGAUGCCCUCCCAGAGGUGCCCGGUGUGGGUAGGCACAGGGUCUGUGGGGACCUGGAGGCCCAGCCCACCAGCCCCCUCUGCCUGCCCAGAGCCCUCUGUCCCCACAUUUCAAUUCUUGCCUGGACCUCCAGGCCCGCUCCCUAACUGUGACCCCCGCGGAGUUCAUCUUCCAAGCUGGCUCUGACCGGCAGGACGUGCCCCUGCCCACCACUGCAAGAAGCACCCCCACUAUCCCAAACUAAGUCCCACAGCUCAGGGGCCCACCACAGCCUCUGACUGCUCACCCACCCAAGCUCCCACCCCCCUGCCCCAGAGCAGGGGCUGCAGGAAGGGGCCUGAGCAGCUGCCUUCCUGCCCUGCCCAGGGCCAUGUGACACAGUGGGCAAGGCCAUGGGCUGAGUGCCCAGCUGCAUCCCUGCAUGGACUGGGCACACGGAGCCCGGGGACGGAGAGCUCCCCAGCACCUUGGCUGCACGGGGGACAGCAGCCCCUCCCCAGACCGUACAGGCCACCCCCCUGGCCCCCGAUCCAGCCCCCUGGCUUGUCGCAGACCUUUCGUUCUGGGCCGGGGUUUCUCACAUUCCCAGGAAACCCUCUCUGGGCCGCCCCGGCUCCCAUCCACAGCCAGGACAGGGACAGUGAUGGCUCCCCUGGCACGUGGGGGCAGGGCUCCAGUCCCCUCCAGGUGGGCGCCCAGAGGGGCCACUGUCUUGGGAGCCCAGGGGGCUGUUUGCCGUUCAGUCCCCAGCAUAGGUGUCACCCCUCCUAGGUGCAGGCCCAGCGCUGUUCUGCACGCCCGGUGGCUGCACCCUAAUGGGCUCCCUAUCUGGCAGAUGAGGUCACUGAGCCAGCUGGGAAGCGUCCCAGCUCUGCCACUAGCACCCCAUUCGUAGGCCGAGAUGGGGUGCAAGCCCUGCCCGGCUAUGGAACGGGCACCAGACCCAGCGGGGGGGAGGGAGAGCUGGCCCUACCCACCCCGGCCCCGCCUUCCCCGGUGAACCUGACCGAGCCCAGCAGGGUCUGGAUGCCUCUCUCCCCAAGCAAGGACGUUCGUGGACCCUGGAUGUCUUGGCCCCUCUGUGGUCCCUGGACUGUAUGUGACUGAGGCCACCCUGAGGAGAAGGCCGUCCCCCCUGGAAACACAGGCCAUGUGGGGCUCCCGGGAGCUGCUUCUGGUGUGGUUCCUGGUGCUGGCAGCAGGUGGCACCGAGCACGUCUACCGGCCUGGCCGCAGGGUGUGUGUUGUCGGCGUUCCCAGGGGCCCCGUGUCCGAGUCCUUCGUGCAGCGUGUGUACCAGCCCUUCCUCACCACCUGCGAUGGGUACCGGGCCUGCAGCACCUACCGGACCAUCUACAGGACUGCCUACCGCCGCAGCCCUGGGCCAGCCCCCGCCCGGCCCCGCUAUGCCUGCUGCCCGGGCUGGAAGAGGACCAGCGGGCUCCCUGGGGCCUGUGGAGCAGCAAUAUGCCACCCGCCAUGCCAGAACGGAGGGAGCUGUGUCCGGCCAGGCCGCUGUCACUGCCCUGCAGGGUGGCGGGGCGACACCUGCCAGACAGAUGUGGAUGAAUGCAGUGCUGGAGGGGGCGGCUGUCCCCAGCACUGUGUCAACACCGCAGGCAGUUACUGGUGUCACUGUCCGGAGGGGCACAGCCCAUCUGUGGACAGGGCAUUCUGCCUGCCCAGGAGAGGGACCUCCAGGGUGGCCCCAAACCCCACAACAGCCCAGCACCGAGAGCACGGCGCGGACCUCGGCUGGAACCACCCUCGGCUCGGCGGGGACCGGGGACCCCGACCUAACGGAGAGGGGGCCCGGGGGCUGCGUCUGCCCAGAGCCACCUCCCAGCCCCCAGGUCGGCCCAGGUGGACGGCCAGGGCCCCGGAUGGGGGAGAGGGGCUCGCCACGACAGGGGGGCUGUGCCCCACACCCGGAGCGGUGGCUCCGCACGGGGUACGAGGCCAGCCUGCGGGGGGUGCAGCGUGGAAGCCGGGCGCCCCUGACUCGGCCGCUGGCUCUCCCAGGAGCGGACAGUGCGGUGAAGGAGGAAGUGCAGAGGCUUCAGUCAAGGGUGGACGUGCUGGAGCAGAAGCUGCAGCUCGUGCUGGCGCCGCUGCACAGCCUGGCGUCUCGCGCCCUGGAGCACGGGCUCCCUGACCCCGGCAGCCUCCUGGCCCACUCCCUCCAGCAGCUGGACCGCAUCGACUCUCUGAGCGAGCAGAUCUCCCUCCUGGAGGAGCAGCUGGGCUCCUGUUCCUGCAAGAAGGAGCUGUGACAGGCCCGGCCCAGGCCCCCUCCUCCAGCCACCAAGACUCUCCCCUCGCCGUGCCCUGCCCUGGGCCCCAUCCCCCACCACCACCGCUCCUCACCAGGGACCCCCCCCAGGCUCCCCCGUGGGGUAGGGCUGAGUGAGGACCCAGCCCCAGCCGGUCGGACCCCUCCACCCGGCCGCCCUGGGGGCCUGGUGGGCCCGGCUGAGGGACGGUACGAGGGCUCCCUGCCCAGGGCACCGUGCUGCUUACUGGGCAGCCCUGGUUUUUGUUGGAAUAAAAUGAGACUUGAGCCGCA